GAGAUAGAGGCGCGAAGUUUAUUAGUAUCAUAUAGGAGUGCGGUACACGUUGAGUAUAUGGGAAAGGAACCUUCGCCGAAAGAGAUUGCUUGCCGAAGCGAUUUCUUGGUUAGGUAUCGAAUAGGUGCUUGACUGUCAUCGAUACAUCGAUGGAGUGCUAGC
rnacentral:ncRNA from 1 species